ACCCGGCUGAUGAGUCCCAAAUAGGACGAAACGCGUGUCCUGGAU
rnacentral:hammerhead_ribozyme from 1 species